GGGAAGAGCUCAAAGUUAAAAUCGGUGUACCGAGAGGUGCUCCGAAUUGUAAUCUAGAGACACUUUUUCAGCUCUGACCCGGGUAUAAAUCUUUUGAAACAAGGUGUCAUAGAGGGUGAGAAUCCCGUCUUUGACCCGGAGUUCGGGGCGUACGAAGGGUGUUCCAAGAGUCGAAUAGCUUGGGAAUGCUGUUCUAAAUGGGUGGUAAAUUUCAUCUAAAGCUAAAUAUCGACGAGAGACCGAUAGCGAACAAGUACCGUGAGGGAAAGAUGAAAAGAACUUUGAAAAGAGAGUUAAAAAGUACUUGAAAUUGUUAAGAAGGAAGCACUGGAAACCAGUUGUGCUUGUGUUACAUAGACACUACGUUGGUGAGAGGGCAAAUCGGUACCUCAUAGGGCCGACCAAACUUCAGAGCUAGCGUAGUGUUCUCGUAGCAUGAGUGAGUCAGGAUCUGGUAGUUCUGAAGAAGAAAGCUAGUGGAAGGUAGUCAAUCAUCAGCGAUGGUGGUUGAAACUUAUAGCCGCUGGUCAAACUUCGGAGCUGCCAGAGGAACCACGAUAAUGCGCUCCGCAAGGCUGCUGGUGGGGGUCCCUAGCUGGCGGUGAUUUUGAAGAGCAAAGCUCUGAAGAGGUCACCGCUGGUUACUGGGUUUUCACUAGACCGCGCAUUCGCGAUCCUGACGAAAUGGUUUUCAUUGACCCGUCUUGAAACACGGACCAAGGAGUCUAACAUAUAUGCGAGUAUUUGGGUGUGAAAACCCUGAUGCGCAAUGAAAGUGAAGCUAGACCUAGUCUAGUGAGGUAGGAACCGCAAGGGGCACUAUCGACCGAUCGUUCAUUCAUGAAAGAUUUGAGUAAGAGCAUAUCUGUUGGGACCCGAAAGAUGGUGAACUAUGCCUGAUCAGGGUGAAGCCAGGGGAAACUCUGGUGGAGGCUCGUAGCGAUACUGACGUGCAAAUCGUUCGUCUGAAUUGGGUAUAGGGGCGAAAGACUAAUCGAACCAUCUAGUAGCUGGUUCCCGCCGAAGUUUCCCUUAGGAUAGCUGGAACUUAUACAGUUUUAUCAGGUAAAGCUAAUGAUUAGAGGUCCUAGAGUUGAAACAACUUUAACCUAUUCUCAAACUUUAAAUAGGUAAGAAAUCUAUGCUUUCUUUAUUGAAGCUAGAUCUCGAAUGAAAGUUCUUAGUGGGCCAUUUUUGGUAAGCAGAACUGGCGAUGCGGGAUGAACCGGACGUUAAGUUAAGGUGCCAAACUAUUCGCUCAUCUAGAUACUCCUAAAAGGUGUUGGUUCAUUUAGACAGCAGGACGGUGGUCAUGGAA
rnacentral:rRNA from 1 species